rnacentral:rRNA from 1 species
CUCAGGAUGAACGCUAGCGGGAGGCUUAAUACAUGCAAGUCGAGGGUAACGAGGGGCUUCGGCCCGCUGAGACCGGCGCACGGGUGAGUAACGCGUACGCAACUUACCUCCAAGCGAGGGAUAGCCCUGGGAAACUGGGAUUAAUACCUCAUGUGAUUAUGAUGCCGCAUGGUGUUAUAAUUAAAGUUCAGGCGCUUGGAGAUGGGCGUGCGUCCUAUUAGCUAGUUGGUGAGGUAACGGCUCACCAAGGCGACGAUAGGUAGGGGGCGUGAGAGCGUGGCCCCCCACACGGGUACUGAGACACGGACCCGACUCCUACGGGAGGCAGCAGUAAGGAAUAUUGGACAAUGGGCGCAAGCCUGAUCCAGCCAUCCCGCGUGCAGGAUGACAGCCCUACGGGUUGUAAACUGCUUUUGUUAGGGAAGAAACCCCUCGAUUUAUCGGGGGCUGACGGUACCUUUCGAAUAAGCACCGGCUAACUCCGUG